AUUGAACGCUGGCGGCAGGCUUAACACAUGCAAGUCGAGCGAGCGGCGGACGGGUGAGUAAUGUCUGGGAAACUGCCCGAUGGAGGGGGAUAACUACUGGAAACGGUAGCUAAUACCGCAUACCAUCUGAUGUGCCCAGAUGUGAUUAGCUAGUAUGUGGGGUAAUGGCUCACCUAGGCGACGAUCCCUAGCUGGGCUGAGAGGAUGACCAGCCACACUGGAACGGAGACACGGUCCAGACUCCUACGGGAGGCAGCAGUGGGGAAUAUUGCACAAUGGGCGAAAGCCUGAUGCAGCAAUGCCGCGUGUGUGAAGAAGGCCUUCGGGUUGUAAAGCACUUUCAGCGAGGAGGAGUGACAGGAAGAAGAAGCACCGGCUAACUCCGUGCCAGCAGCCGCGGUAAUAG
rnacentral:rRNA from 1 species